rnacentral:rRNA from 1 species
UACGAAGGGGGCUAGCGUUGCUCGGAAUCACUGGGCGUAAAGGGUGCGCAGGCGGACUUAUAAGUCAGGGGUGAAAUCUCGCUGCUCAACAGCGAAACUGCCUUUGAUACUGUAGGUCUUGAAUUAGGGAGAGAUUCGUGGAAUUCCGAGUGUAGCAGUGAAAUGUGUAGAUAUUCGGAAGAACACCAGAGGCGAAGGCAGCGAAUUGGCCCUAUAUUGACGCUCAGGCACGAAAGCAUGGGGGAUCAAACAGG